rnacentral:lncRNA from 13 species
UUCGGCUCGUGCCGCACGUCCCACUAGUGCAGUCACGAGAAUAAAAGAGUUUUUGUUCCAUCCUUCCCUGCCUUCCUUUCCUUAAGACUGGAUGUAACACUAACUUAGAAGAACUUCUCACAACCAACGAUUCAGCUCUUUCUCAAUAUACAAAUUUUGUUACCAAUAUUGGAGAGCAUACAGCAAAAGAGAAUAUUCAUAGAAUUUUAAGAAAAGUUUUUUCUGAUGAGUGUGCUAAACUUUGUUCAUGGAAAGGAAAAAAAAACAAUUAUGCUGUUUAUAACGUAAUUUACGCAUAAUUACAGAAAUUAGCCAAGCCGUUACUUUAUCUUACGAACUAAAAGAAAUUGAAUUUGAAGACGUUACUGCAGAAUGGUUUCGUUUUGCAAAACAACGAGCUGCAAGAAAAAGUCAGCAUUAAAGGAAUAAUGAUUUCUAAUACAUUUAUUAAUGUAAAAUUAUUGGUCUAAUUUGUGCUAACAAAUCUUUAUAUUUUAGAUAUGUCAUUUAUAUGUCAAUUAUUAUGUCAUUUAACGUAUUGCAUAAUACAUCUCAAUAUUAUAAUUUUAUAUUGUAAUUUUAUUAAUACAUAUGUACGUUUUAAAAAAUAAAACUUUUUUACUGUA